GAUGAACGCUGGCGGCGUGCUUAACACAUGCAAGUCGAACGAAGCACUUGGAUCUCUUCGGAGUGACGAGUGACUGAGUGGCGGACGGGUGAGUAACGCGUGGGUAACCUGCCUCGUACAGGGGGACAACAGUUGGAAACGACUGCUAAUACCGCAUAAGCGCACAGUAUCGCAUGAUACAGUGUGAAAAGCUGAGGCGGUACGAGAUGGACCCGCGUUGGACUAGCUAGUUGGUGGGGUAACGGCCUACCAAGGCGACGAUCCAUAGCCGACCUGAGAGGGUGACCGGCCACAUUGGGACUGAGACACGGCCCAAACUCCUACGGGAGGCAGCAGUGGGGAAUAUUGCACAAUGGGCGAAAGCCUGAUGCAGCGACGCCGCGUGAGCGAUGAAGUAUUUCGGUAUGUAAAGCUCUAUCAGCAGGGAAGAAAAUGACGGUACCUGACUAAGAAGCUCCGGCUAAAUACGUGCCAGCCGCCGCAGUAAAAC
rnacentral:rRNA from 1 species